CUCUAGCGUCUCUCGACAGUAUUUAUAUUUAUAUUUAUUAAUUUAUUUAAUUUAUUCCAAAUAUAUUUGAAGGGUUGCAAUAGCAAUCUAUCGUUCUCGUUAUUCUAUAUUACAAUCCUCUACUCCAUCCACCAUACUAGAUAUAUCGAAAUUGACGGUAUUCGCUAUCAAGACCAAAGUUUUCUUCACAAUAACUGUACUUAUUAACGGGCUUGGCAUGGGAUAUAGUGCGAGUAUUCCCCAUACCAACCAAAAGAGGCCAAGCAUUUCUGGCACCAGUAUUUGAACAUCCAAUAUCUAUAUACAUGAACAUUGCUAAUGAAUACCUCGAUAAAAAUUGUAACAUAAAAAUAGGAAUUUGUUGGGAACAUGAUACAUUUACACUGUACAUGUGAAUGUGUGUGUAAGCGUCAGAGGCCUUAGUUGGGACAAAAGACAAUAGUCAGUCGUUAGAAGCAUCUAGAAGAGUCGGUUGACAACAAGCGUGUGUGCGAGUAGGAUUUCAAGGUCUUUAGAGUAUAAGAUAAUUACAAUGUGCAAACAAACUCACGCGACACAUGACAAGAUAUCUAUCCACGACUGUGCGUCAGGAAUAAUUAACUUUAACAAAAGAAUAAACAUUGGUAAGUUUGCCGUUUAUAAAAUCGAACAUAUAACUUUCAUUCCAUUAACAGCUGAAAACCAACAUAUAGCUAUACCAAAAGAGGAAAAUGAAAUACAUGUACUUUAGAAGUACAAAUUUGUAAAUAGGAAGACCUUCCAUAAUUCAGUCACCU
rnacentral:lncRNA from 1 species